GCCCGGCUGGCGCAAUGGUAGCGCGCAAGACUUCUAUUCUUUGGAAAAUAAAGAAGUUUGCCAAAAAUCAAUCUUGAGGCUGUGGGUUCGAGUCCCACGUCGGGUG